AUACGGAAGGUCCGGGCGUUAUCCGGAUUUAUUGGGUUUAAAGGGAGCGCAGGCGGAGAUGCAAGCGUGACGUCAGAUUUCGGGGCUCAACCCCGUCUCGCGUCGCGAACUGCGUCCCUUGGUUGCGGGAAGGGGAGGCGGAACUCGUGGUGGAGCGGGGAAAUGCAUAGAUAUCACGAAGAACUCCGAUCGCGAAGGCAGCCUUCCGGCCCGUCAACGACGCUCAUGCUCGAAGGUGCGGGUAUCAAACAGGAUUAGAUACCCUGGUAGUCCGCACAGUAAACGAUGGACACCCGCGGUUUGGCCUGUAUGGCUGAGCCGCCAAGCGAAAGCGUUAAGUGUCCCACCUGGGGAGUACGCCGGCAACGGUGAAACUCAAAUGAAUUGACGGGG
rnacentral:rRNA from 1 species